CUCCGCACUUGCAUUUAAUUAUCUGCCAAGCACAGCUUGUUUACUUUACCAAGAGAACCGAGAGGGACUCUGGGGGAUUUAAGCAGGUCACCGCAGGGAGGAGUACCCAGUUCCGAGAGAGACUAGACACAGCGCGUCCUCCCGGCAGCGCCAACCUGCCACCCACCCCCGACCGCGGCCAGGCGGCCACCAGCACUCCUGUCCCACCAGGUGUUCUCCAGGAUUUACGCAGCCGCCCUUCUAGAACCGCAGGGACUGCCAGGCACAGGUUUCCCCAUCAGCUGAACAAGAAAUAAACAUUCCCGGGCCGUCGAAACCUAGUGGUCCUUAGGCUUUUCGUUCUCGAAAUGGGAUUUACUUUCCACACUCAAGUGCCUGCGUGGAGGAGACAGAUCCGGCGUGGUUUUAUUUCCCUGGACCGUCACAUCCAGUUUAUUCUUCAGCCCCUUCUGAAACCGAGGUUCUGCACACCUCUCAGCUUUCUGACUCCCACCAGGGGUUGCCUCAGGGCUGACACCCUCCAACCCCACGCAGACACACAGACCUGCACACGCAGGUUUGCAGACAAUCAUCGCGCCUGACACGUUUGCACCUCUUUCGGAGCUGGAGGGAAACAGCUGUUCCCGCAUCACUGCAGAAUGGAGAACCAAGCUCCUCCCUCUAACAGAAUGCCUUUGCUUUCUUUGCCUGGGAGGAUGCUUUUAGCUGUGGAAGGAAAAACAGUCGUUGCUGUGUUUUUAUUUUGUUUUUUUUUUGUGUGUGUGUGUUUAUUUGGGGCAGGGUUGGGAGAUGCUUUCUCUGACCCUUGCACUCACUUGGGUCGGAAAUUUGAAUAGUGUAAGAUUUAAAAUCUACAAAACAACCCGUUGAAACCAAAAGGGACAGGAAAUAAGUACAUAUAUGCUUAAAUAAUUCCUUCUAUUAUUGACCUGCCCUUUUUAAAAGUAGCCCUUCCAAAACACGCAUGUUUUGUUUCAUUGGAGUCAAGGAAGAAGGUUAAACUUGAAAGUUGAUUUAUUGCCUGGCUUUGAGACCUUGAACAAGUUAUGGCCUCCUUCUGUUCAAUUUUCUCUUGUAAUGAGAUGAUGCCUCUCUUUCAACUUUUUAGUAUGGAAAAUACUCAACCAUAUACAAAAGUAGAGAGAAUAGAGAAUUCCCUGCAUAUGUCUCCAAACUUCCAACAUUUUCAAUGCAUGGCUAAUCAUGUUUAUUCUCUAUGCCCACCCACUUCCCAAUUUUUAUUACUA